GCCUAACAAGUUCUUGAUGUCUGAUGAAAGCAUUUUAGGUGGCUGAAACAGUUACUUUAACUAAGGCUGAAGUUUUAUCUGCAAGAACAUCUUGAUGGUGCAAGGCAUCCACAUGUAUGUACGAGGAUUUGUAUUACAGCUUGGCAAGUCUCACACGCGGUGCCGUUAAAACCCUGGGUGCACUGACAGACGCCUGUGCCAUUGAUCCCAUCUACACAUAUGCCGUUGCCGAAACAGGACUGACCUUCAGGCCCCGGACACUUCUCACAGUUAACGCCAUAAUAACCUGCACAACACUUUCUUUCCUGCAAACAGACAGAAACUGUUUCUGAUAUCUGCUUUUUUUUUUUUUUUUUUUUUUUUUUUUAAUAA